rnacentral:rRNA from 1 species
AUACGUAGGGGGCGAGCGUUGUCCGGAAUGAUUGGGCGUAAAGGGCGCGUAGGCGGCCCGGUAAGUCUGGAGUGAAAGUCCUGUUUUUAAGAUGGGAAUUGCUUUGGAUACUGUCGGGCUUGAGUGCAGGAGAGGUAAGUGGAAUUACCAGUGUAGCGGUGAAAUGCGUAGAGAUUGGGAGGAACACCAGUGGCGAAGGCGACUUACUGGACUGUAACUGACUCUGAGGCGCGAAAGUGUGGGGAGCAAACAGGAUUAGAUACCCUGGUAGUCCACACUGUAAACGAUGAGUGCUAGGUGUAGGGGGUAUCGACCCCUGCUGUGCCGCAGUCAACACAAUAAGCAUUCCGCCUGGGGAGUACGGCCGCAAGGUUGAAACUCAAAGGAAUUGACGGGG